GCGGGGGAUUACAUUUGGAAACAGGUGCUAAUACCGCAUAACUUGGAAAACCACAUGGUUUUCCAAUAAAAGAUGGUUUCGGCUAUCACUUUGGGAUGGGCCCGCGGUGCAUUAGCUAGUUGGUAAGGUAACGGCUUACCAAGGCAAUGAUGCAUAGCCGAGUGAGAGACUGAUCGGCCACAAUGGAACUGAGACACGGUCCAUACUCCUACGGGAGGCAGCAGUAGGGAAUCUUCCACAAUGGGCGCAAGCCUGAUGGAGCAACACCGCGUGAGUGAAGAAGGGUUUCGGCUCGUAAAACUCUGUUGUUGGAGAAGAACGUGCGUAAGAGUAACUGUUUACGCAGUGACGGUAUCCAACCAGAAAGUCACGGCUAACUACGUGCCAGCAGCCGCGGUAAUACGUAGGUGGCAAGCGUUAUCCGGAUUUAUUGGGCGUAAAGCGAGCGCAGGCGGUUGCUUAGGUCUGAUGUGAAAGCCUUCGGCUUAACCGAAGAAGUGCAUCGGAAACCGGGCGACUUGAGUGCAGAAGAGGACAGUGGAACUCCAUGUGUAGCGGUGGAAUGCGUAGAUAUAUGGAAGAACACCAGUGGCGAAGGCGGCUGUCUGGUCUGCAACUGACGCUGAGGCUCGAAAGCAUGGGUAGCGAACAGGAUUAGAUACCCUGGUAGUCCAUGCCGUAAACGAUGAGUGCUAGGUGUUGGAGGGUUUCCGCCCUUCAGUGCCGAAGCUAACGCAGAAAGCACUCCGCCUGGGGAGUACGACCGCAAGUGG
rnacentral:rRNA from 2 species